rnacentral:rRNA from 1 species
GAUGAACGCUGGCGGCGUGCCUAAUACAUGCAAGUCGAGCGAACAGACGAGGAGCUUGCUCCUUUGACGUUAGCGGCGGACGGGUGAGUAACACGUAGGUAACCUACCUAUAAGACUGGGAGAACUUCGGGAAACCGGAGCUAAUACCGGAUAAUAUUUCGAACCUCAUGGUUCGAUAGUGAAAGAUGGCUUUGCUAUCACUUAUAGAUGGACCUGCGCCGUAUUAGCUAGUUGGUAAGGUAACGGCUUACCAAGGCAACGAUACGUAGCCGACCUGAGAGGGUGAUCGGCCACAAUGGAACUGAGACACGGCCCAGACUCCUACGGGAGGCAGCAGUAGGGAAUCUUCCGCAAUGGGCGAAAGCCUGACGGAGCAACGCCGCGUGAGUGAUGAAGGUCUUCGGAUCGUAAAACUCUGUUAUUAGGGAAGAACAAACGUGUAAGUAACUGUGCACGUCUUGACGGUACCUAAUCAGAAAGCCACGGCUAACUACGUG